rnacentral:rRNA from 1 species
AGCAGUCGCCGCGGUAAUACGUAGGUGGCAAGUGUUGUCCGGAAUUAUUGGGCGUAAAGGGCUCGCAGGCGGUUUCUUAAGUCUGAUGUGAAAGCCCCCGGCUCAACCGGGGAGGGUCAUUGGAAACUGGGAAACUUGAGUGCAGAAGAGGAGAGUGGAAUUCCACGUGUAGCGGUGAAAUGCGUAGAGAUGUGGAGGAACACCAGUGGCGAAGGCGACUCUCUGGUCCGUAACUGACGCUGAGGAGCGAAAGCGUGGGGAGCGAACAGGAUUAGAUACCCCUGUAGUCCCUGUCUCUUAUAC